UUAGCGAAAAGCUCCUCAAGAUAAGAAUAGUAUGUUGUGAUGGUUAACGAAGGAAGGUGGCACUUGUUAGCAGUUCAGAUCGACCCGAGUAGUAGUGGUGGGUGUCUCAUGUCUCUGCAAAUGAGUAGUCCUCUACAUUUUCCGUCGUCAUCGUUUAGUCGGUUGUUCACAACGAGAGGGAAUAGUCCUUAUAAAUGCCCAGCAGUUGGGUUUAAGCCACCCACCGACAAUACUGAAACAAAACCUCCUACCAUCAAUAGCACUUGUUCAGAAGGGAUCAUUAAAGUGCCCAGGCAAAGAUACAUUUCUGCUUCUAAAUCUCACCUGUUGGAUGCCAUCACUACCACCUUCUUUAACUUACCCCAUGAAGCCCAUCUAUUUCGUCAACUAUCAUUAUGCCUGGACCUGAUUCUCCAUGCCGAACACAAAGUUAUCUUAGAGGAAAUGCGAGUUGAAUAUGAUCGCUCUCAUUCCAAUCUUAGUAGUAAUAAUACUGCUGUUUCAUCUGGCCAAGAAAGAAAUUUCACACCAAAUGGAAGGGGUUCUGACAUCGUCACGAGUGAUUUUGAGAAGGUUGGAAACAUGGAUAAAUAUGGCAAGGACGUGGAUCUGAAGAAUCUAUGGACUUCAGGUUCUAAUCAAUUCUCAGGAUCUCCUUAUGUUUCCUUUCUCAAAUUUGUCAACAAAGACUCUCUUGAGGAGUCUAGAACUGCGGUUUCCAGUCGUUUUCAACAUGCUUUCCUACAGCUGCUUUCCAAUGCAGGAUUUGAAGAAUUGUCUGCUAGAGAUCUGAGACUUACAUCUGCUCUAAAUACUGAUUAUCUUCUUACUUUGCCAAUAUCGGUUGACUGGAAGAGUGCAUCUCAGUCCAGUGCCAUAUUAUUCAGGCGUGGUUAUGCAACUGAGAGGCAGAAGGGUUUGCUAAUUGUUGAAAAACUAGAUUACUUGCAGUCGAAGUUUAUACAAGGAGUUUUCUCUGUGAUAGUCAAACCACUGAAGAAAUUUAGUACUUGGUUGACUGAGGUUUUGGAAAGAUCUAUCACAAAAGACAAUGCACUUUGGGCCGAAAACAUCAAGCUUUGGUUGGAACAUGUUCCGAUUUUCCAGCAAACAUCUAGUGACGACCAGCACAUAUCAAAUAAGCCAUUUGAGAUUGACACAUUAUCAGAAAAUGACCUUCCCCUUUUGAAAGCUGCACAAAAUGCAGUAACUCGUUAUGAAGAAAAUCUUUCAGCAGCUGGGCCUCGUGGUAGGCUUCUACAGAAGCUGCUGGUUUUGAUUGGAGUCCUAACUUCAACACAUAAACAGCAAGUAGAGCUUGACAUAGAUGUUACUGAAACUGAAUCUCAUUUAAGGCCAAUAUUUUUGUCGAGGAUAUCACUUAGCGAUAUAUGGGAACCUGCAUCACGCGACCUAUGUGGAAAUGAUUUUUGGAGAAUGUUGAGAACUUCUAUUUCCAUUCUUCUCUCAAAAUCAACUCUUCAGGAACCAGCUUACCAAGAGUUGAUUUUGCUAUACAUCAAGGUAACUUGUGAAGGAGGUGACGCCGAUAAACCUGAGUUUCCCUCCUUACAGCUGAAGAUCUACGAGAAAAUCCCCAUUCCAGAUCUACCAGUUGUUUUUCCACACAAGAAGUUGUCUUUCCGCAUACUAGACUCGGUACGCCUGGACAUUGCCUCGGUUCUUGGACUUCUGGCGUACUUCAUAAACUACAAGUUCGAAAAUAUAUUUUCACUAUCCGCAAUACUUUUAGACGUGGUUGCAGUCAGUGCUCUUGUUAUAUAUGUGAGCCGUGUGGUCUUGGGCUACAAGCAAACUUGGGAUAGAUAUCAACUUCUGGUCAAUAGGACGCUUAAUGAGAAAACAAUAGCAAGUGGCUUUGGUUCUAUUUACUUUCUCCUGGAUGCUUCUGAACAACAGCAGUACAAAGAAGCCAUUUUGGCAUAUGCAGUCCUGCUGACAGGAAACAGCCAGGAAAGUUGUGCUAGAAAUAUUGGAGCUAGAUGUGAGAAGUUUGUUUAUGAUCUAUUGGAAGAAAAGGUAGAAAUGCCUGUAGACAAAGCCAUAAGUACAUUGGUGAGGCUGGGUAUUGUAACGCAGGAUUCUUUAAAUGGGCACACUGAACUGCAGGCAGUCCCUUGCUUCAGGGCAUAUGAGAUUCUUAAACAACACUGGAAUAGCUUGCUCGGCUAAGUUUUGCUGUGCAGAAAGUUGUACACGUAGUAUGGGGCAAUCCCUCAAGAAAUUUGGUCCAUCUCUCUCUCUCUUUACAACUAUUUUUUCACGUCAUUGAAGGAUUUUUUUGCUAGUGUAAAGGGGAAUAAGGCUAUUUUGUAAUAUUUUCUUUCGUUUUUUGCAGCAAAUGGUGAGCAGAGUGAUAAUAUUGGUCCAAUGAUAGAAAAUUGCUACAAGAGUCAUUUUAGCAACACUGAGAAAUGGAGCUUCGCAGAAUUUUGCCAUGCAGUCUGCCUAACAGUCGAAGAUGUCAACGAAAAGCUAGGGAGCACACAGUUUAGGGUGACAAAAAUUGAGACACUCAAGCUACUGUACGAAAAAUAUGAGAUAAGAGGGAAAUCUUUGAAAAAUGAAGAGUUCCGCAGAAUGCUUCAUGAAAUCAUUUUCGAUACAAAAGUCACUGGCACCGGGGCAAAAGACAUAUUGUUAUACUUGUUUGGAGUCCCAGUCACUGCAUUAUUCAUCAAGCAAAGUGUUAUUCCACAAGCCAUGCCCAAUGAGAUCUUUAUUCCUGGCGUCACUUCAGCAACAGUUUUUCUUCUAGCCAAACUUCACAUGAUUUAGAUAAUCUUGCUAUAAAACGUGUGAAAUGUAAAUUCUCCACUUCCUUACUUGGCUUUUAUUCAAUUUCUGAUUCAUGACCAUAUUUUAAUUGUGAAAUAAUAUAUAUGAUCAUUUAUGUGUAUUAGUCCAUCACUAUUUACUUUUAAUAACAUAAUCUGCUGACUUUCUUGCAUGCAUCAGGGUACAGUUUCAUUGAGAGUCUAAUCUUGUAAUCUGGCCUUAACUUUAUUUGAAUUUAAGCCCAGAGACAUUGAAAGAAUUUCUUACAGAUGAAUAUAAUUAGUAUUUUUAGUUCU